CUGGGAGCCAACGGGGCCCUUGUGCACCAGGCCAGGUGAAACUAGAGGGCGAGCCCCCGAGCCUCGGCCUCCCAUCUGCUGCUUUGCCAGGUCUUGUCAGCUGCUCAUCUAAGGUCACCAAGUGACCUCAGGUCAGCAGGUGAGGAUGAUGGUGAGGACGACUGUCCCCUUCUACGGCUUCCUUGCCAGGACUGCACUAAGCCUCUUACAUACAUUCUGUCAUUUGGUUUCAGUUCCUUCGUACAGACAAGGAACCUGGGACUUAGAGAACCCUCUUUCCUAUCACGGGCUGUUAGAACAAAUGUGAGUCCUUUCUAGUUCCAAAGAACGACUUUGUGCUGUCCUCUGAUUAUAGGUCAUACCUUGGUACCUUAAGUGUAUGAUCCCUUCAACUGAUAACUAGGGACGCCCCGGCGGCUCAGUGGUGGAGCGUUCGGCCCCGGCCCAGGGCAUGACCCCGGGGUCCUGGGGUCGAGUCCCACGUCGGGCCUGUUUCUCCCUCUGCCUGGGUCUCUGCCUCUCUCUGUGUCUCUCAUGAAUAAAUAAAUAAAAAUCCUUAAAAAAAAAUAAUAAAUGUGACAUUGCUUAAGAAACUAACAUGUUAAAAAUCUGCUGGGUGUAUUUAGAAGGACAAGAUACAGUCUUGAACCUUGAAAAGUGUGUAGGUUAAAGAAUGACAAGUGAAAAAGUAAUGUACUUUAAAAAGCAGAAGAUAAACAUUGAUACUGCGAUCCGAUGAUUGUCCUAACAACCCAGAGGUAAUGGUGACAUGGACAAGAACUACCGCAUGCAGGACGGAGGAAGAGAGAGAUACCGGAUCCACGUCCAGGAGCACGACUCCGAGCGGCGGGGGCAGGAGGAAGCGUGUUGGCGAAGGCGUGCGGCUGUGCACCCCCUGCAGGGAGUUGCCAGUGCACCUGGCCCAGGAAUACUCUGGCCAAAUCUCUACCUUGGAUAUUACCUUUUCAGGUCAUCAUAACAUCAACUGAUGCUCCUGGAUAAUUGAAUGAACGAUGCCCAACAUAAGACUGUGAUUGGUUUGUGUGAUUUCAUAAAUGCACAAAAGACACAUGAACUUACUCAAUGAUCCAUUUUUACUUUUGUCAAGGUGAAUAUAAAAACAAAUUGGACUUAUAUUGCUUUUUAAUGAAACAUCUCUAAUGCUAGUGGAAGAUGGAUGCACAGUUAUCAAAUGCGCUUUGGCGAUGACAUUUAAGGAAACAGGUGUGUGACCUGAAUAGCUAUAGGUGGUCUGUUUUCUGUUUUCUGGUUGAGAAUUGAUUUGUGCAUUUGACCUGAAAGGAAGAUAUUAACUCUUUCAAGUCACAGAUGAAAUUAUUCUUUCAUUGAGUAGACAUACUUUGGGGGGCACCCUCUCUGGGCUAGGCACUAUUCUGAGUAGAUAAGAGCAAUAAAAGUCCCCGAGGUGAUGCA
ensembl:lncRNA